CCCCCUUCCCCAUCUCUCUCACAAAAAUGAAAAAUCCAAUCGUAAGGUCUUCCAGCGCAACCAGCAGCAGUAGCCAUCGCCCCAACCCCGUCAUCUCCUCUUCUCCCCUCGCGUCGCUAGAAGGUUUUUAAGAUCGACACUACUUGGAUAAGGAAUGGGGCAAUUAGUUUUAGUGCAGGAGAUAAUGAUGACACAAGUAAUGAAGAAGUGACUGAUGAUGGAGCCAACAAAGUUCAUGGACCUGAUGAAGACACUUUAGAGCCAGUUUUUGGUUUAAUGUCAGUUAAAAUUUUGAACAGAUUAACUUAAACUGAGAAUGCACUCUUAAUUAUAUAGUUGAAGCAACACAUCUGUAUUAUUUAUCUUUGUACUGGUGUUUAUGAAUGAAAUUCAU